rnacentral:rRNA from 1 species
UACGGGGGGGGCAAGCGUUGUUCGGAAUUACUGGGCGUAAAGGGCUCGUAGGUGGCCAACUAAGUCACACGUGAAAUCCCUCGGCUUAACCGGGGAACUGCGUGUGAUACUGGAUGGCUUGAGUUUGGGAGAGGGAUGCGGAAUUCCAGGUGUAGCGGUGAAAUGCGUAGAUAUCUGGAGGAACACCGGUGGCGGAGGCGGCAUCCUGGACCAAUACUGACGCUGAGGAGCGAAAGCCAGGGGAGCAAACGGG